AUAGGAUUAUUUAUAAAACGUGCAGCAAUGGGAUGUAGCUAUUUAUAUGUUCAUGCAUUAAUUCAUACAUCAGAAUACAGAAUGUAUUGGAUAAAGUUAUCGAGAAUAAGUUUUCAGCGAUAAUGAUGAUAAAAUACUUUAUGGAGAUGGACACGCAUUUAGUCAUGGCCCAAAAAAUUUAAAGAAGUUGACCCGAUGAAUUCGGCUAUAAUUAGUUGUUAAAGAGAGCAGCAAUAAUGGAAAGAAGGAUUUAUCAAUAAUGAAGGGUACUUCUGACAAUUAAUGAACAGGCUGCAUCUUGCUUCAAUCAUGCCACCCACCGUCAGAGCUUCUCGUGAAGAAGUUGUGAGAACACUUCACACUUCAUAUGGCAAAAAAUGAGUGAAGAGCGGGCUGAGGCUUUUAUAUUUCAGAUGGUAUUUGUGUACGUUAUUAAACAUAAGAGACAUAUGAUUAUGAAGGCUUAUGCCCGUUUGGGAGUCAGGGAUUCAUCAAUCGAUGUAAAUAUUAGGCAAUUAUCGGAAAAUGAAAAUUAAUUUGGAAACACCCGUUAAUUGAUUAGAUUCCAAUGUCACUAUAAAAAAAAUCCACCCUCAAUACAAAAAUUUAUCCUCAUCUCGCUCUUUUUGCAACUGUUAAAAACUUUUUUAUUGGAUAAUUAACUGAUAAUACUAAUAAAUUGAAUAAUAAAUAUUCAUUGGUCAUCGUAAAAACGUGCAUUGGUCACCCGUUAGAAAGAUACUUGUCAAAAAGUGAUAAAUACAUGACAUUAUAACAAAACACAUAUUUUGUGUGCUCAUUAUUCUUUAUUAAAUUACUUAAAUGGAAUGACGUAGAAAGACGCUCUUGUACAUAGAAAAUUUUCGGCGAUUUUGUUAUGUUAGUAAAAAACAACGUCGAUAUUUAUUAUUAUGAGCGAGGAACUUAUAAAUAAAUUAAACUGACAUUAAUUAAUGCUGUAUUAUUCUUGUAACACAUACACAAGACUAUGUGGUUGAAUCCAUUUGCAGUUAGUUAUUGGUUUGAUUAUUUUGCAAUGGUUGUCAUACAAGAACCAAUUCCCUAACAUCGGACAGUACGCAACGUAGUAAUUCUCAACGAGGGCAAUUACUCCAGCUAGUCUG